rnacentral:rRNA from 1 species
GGGCCCGCACAAGCGGUGGAGUAUGUGGUUUAAUUCGAUGCAACGCGAAGAACCUUACCAGGGUUUGACAUCCUGCGAAUCUCUUGGAAACGAGAGAGUGCCUUCGGGAACGCAGUGACAGGUGGUGCAUGGCUGUCGUCAGCUCGUGUCGUGAGAUGUUGGGUUAAGUCCCGCAACGAGCGCAACCCACGUCUUUAGUUGCCAGCAUUUAGUUGGGCACUCUAGAGGGACUGCCGGUGAUAAGCCGGAGGAAGGUGGGGAUGACGUCAAGUCCUCAUGGCCCUUAUGGGCUGGGCUACACACGUGCUACAAUGCUACGGACAAAGGGCAGCAAGUUCGCGAGGACAAGCAAAUCCCAUAAACCGUGGCUCAGUUCAGAUCGUAGGCUGCAACUCGCCUACGUG